UACGUAGGGGGCAAGCGUUGUCCGGAUUUAUUGGGCGUAAAGAGCUCGUAGGUGGUUCGGUAAGUCGGAUGUGAAAUCUCCAGGCUCAACCUGGAGGGGUCAUUCGAUACUGCCGUGACUAGAGUUCGGUAGGGGAGUGUGGAAUUCCUGGUGGAGCGGUGAAAUGCGCAGAUAUCAGGAGGAACACCUAUGGCGAAGGCAGCGUCUCUGGGACGGUACUGACGCUGAGACGCGAAAGCGUGGGGAGCGAACAGG
rnacentral:rRNA from 1 species